GUUUAGCCCUGAUGGAAGUGGAAAUCCUGUCAUUGCGUAGUACGAAUUUCUCUGAAAGAUUGCUUCAUUCCUCGCAAUGACAGAUUGGAACGAACAGCAGGAAUUGCG
rnacentral:sRNA from 1 species